rnacentral:sRNA from 2 species
UUUAUGUGCCCACCGGGGGGGAUGAGAACCCCCGACCGGGGUUCGACAACUGGCAACGCCAGUUGGACAGACCGCGAGCCUGCGAGCGGGCUGCCCCGCAGGGGCGAGCGAAGCGAGUCAAUCCCCCCCUCACCGCCA